GUAACAGAAGAUGCAGUGUCUGCCCUCAAGGAGAUUGGUCUCCUAAAAAAGGCUUUAACAUUAAAAAAAUAGUUUAUUAAUGCCUUUCCCCCUUCAUUCUUCCAUUAAUAAACCUUCCUUUGUAGGGAAGAGAAAUAGUUAAACAAAAAGCCAACCUAGUAAACUCACUUAACAGUUUGGAGUCGAUCCUCCAAUCCUAUUUCCUUCCUUCUCUAACAAGAAAAAGGAAGUAUGUUACAACAUCUGUUUUUCAGGGCUGAUAUACAUUAUGAUUAAUUUAGAGUUCAUUUACCUUAAAUCUGGGACUAUAGGGGGCAGCUGGGGAGCUCAGUGAAUGGAGAGCCAGACCUAGAGACAGGAGGUCCUGGAUUCAAAUCUUGCCUGUGACACUUUCUGGCUGUGUGAACCUAGGAAUCACAUCUGUCCAUUGUUUCAGGACCAGAGAAGACUUGAACCAUUUGAUCUAGAGGCAGGAGGGGCCCACAAUUGCCAGGAAAUGGACCUCACAUUUUAUUCUAUGGUUAUGUAAAAUCAUGCCCCUUACAAGAGAUGUUUGGAUCUUCCAGGAGGUAAUACCGAAAACAAGAGGGAAGACAUUAAGGAAGAGAGAAAGAGAAGAAAAGAGAGAGAGAGAUGCUCUGGCCUCCUCUGAGCCAGGCAGGAGUUCAGAGACCCAAGACAAGGGGAAAAAAGUGACAAGAUGAUGGGCCUCUCCAGAGGCUGGUGCCUUCAGAAAAGACAAGGGAAAGGGGAUCAGCCUUUACAUUCACCAUGCAUCAGUUCAAAGGAACAGGUCACCAGGAAAAACAGGUCCAGUCAGCACUCUUCUGAAUGAAGAAUUAUUCUCCACUCCAGUAA